CGCGGUGGGCGGGUCCUGAGUCGCGACCCUGGUCCGGACCUGACCUGAAUUGCGACCCCAACCUGGACUGCUCCCCUGACCGCAACCCCUACCCCCGCCCACCAGCAUGGCCCGGCACGUGUUCCUAACGGGGCCCCCAGGUUAGAGCCUCCACCUGGAAAACGUGAAUGCCGAGUUGGGCAGUAUGUGGUCGACCUGACUUCUUUUGAGCAGUUGGCACUACCCGUCUUGAGGAAUGCCGACUGCAGCAGUGGCCCAGGGCAAAGAGUGUGCGUCAUCGAUGAGAUUGGGAAGAUGGAGCUCUUCAGUCAGCUUUUCAUUCAAGCUGUUCGUCAGACGCUGUCUACCCCAGGGACUAUAAUCCUUGGCACAAUCCCAGUUCCUAAAGGAAAGCCACUGGCUCUUGUAGAAGAAAUCAGAAACAGAAAGGAUGUGAAGGUGUUUAAUGUCACCAAGGAAAACAGAAACCACCUUCUGCCAGAUAUCGUGACGUGCGUGCAGAGCAGCAGGAAGUGAAGACACAUGCAUUCCGUGAAGGAGUGCCCAGUUCAAGAGGAGCCUGAUGGAGCCCUGCCUGUCGAGGCUGUAUGCCUAUGGGGUUAUGGAACCUUGUGGGCUUUUCUAGAGAAAACUCAACAGCUGUUUCCCAUAAAAUGUUUAAAAGAUCAAAUUAGCCUUAAUGCUGGAUUGUCUGUACAAGAUUAACUAUCCAUUGUGGCUUAUCUAUGCUUAAAGAUUUCUUGUUUAUUUCCUCUUGCA
rnacentral:sRNA from 1 species